rnacentral:ribozyme from 1 species
GAUGAGGAGGAAAAUCCCCAGAGUGAGCCGCCUGUUGUUGAUUCAGGGAAAGGGAAAGAGAAAGAGGAAGAGAAUGAAGGCAAAGAGAAAGAAGAGAAACCUCCCUUGAAGGAUA